ACAUUGAUGGACAGAACCAGAGAUGGUUCCUCUUCUUCGGAAGCCNGAAAACAGGUGGUGCACGGUUGUCGUCAGCUCGUGUCGUGAGAUGUUGGGUUAAGUCCCGCAACGAGCGCAACCCCUAUCUUAUGUUGCCAGCACUUUGGGUGGGGACUCAUGAGAGACUGCCGCAGACAAUGCGGAGGAAGGCGGGGAUGACGUCAAAUCACCAUGCCCCCUAUGAUCUGGGCUACACACGUACUACAAUGGGAGUUAAUAGACGGAAGCGAUAUCGCGAGAUGGAGCAAACCCGAGAAACACUCUCUCAGUUCGGAUCGUAGGCUGCAACUCGCCUACGUGAAGUCGGAAUCGCUAGUAAUCGCAGGUCAGCAUACUGCGGUGAAUACGUUCCCGGGCCUUGUACACACCGCCCGUCACACCACGAAAGUCGGAAGUGCCCAAAGCCGGUGGGGUAACCUUCGGGAGCCAGCCGUCUAAGGUAAAGUCGAUGAUUGGGGUGAAGUCGUAACAAGGUAAGCGUAGCGAG
rnacentral:rRNA from 1 species